ensembl:rRNA 5S_rRNA 5S ribosomal RNA
GUCUACAGGCAUGCCACCCUGAACGAGCCCGAUCUCGUCUGAUCUCAGAAGCUAAACAGGGUCGGGCCUGGUUAGUUCUUGGGUGGGAGACCACAUUGGAAUACCAGGGGUUGUAGGCA